AGUGGAUGGGGAGCAACCUAGUUGUGCGUGUGUAAAGGUAGUGCCAAGAAAAGCGAUGAUCAUGUUGAAAAUCAAUUCCCGGUACCCGAAACCGACACAGGUGGGCAAGUAGAGAAUACUAAGGGGCGCGAGGUAACUCUCUCCAAGGAACUCGGCAAAAUGACCCCGCAACUUAGGGAGAAGGGGUGCCACCGAGAGGUGGCCGCAGUGAAGAGGCCCAGGCGACUGUUUAGCAAAAACAUAGGUCUCUGCAAACUCGAAAGAGGAGGUAUAGGGGCUGACGCCUGCCCAGUGCCGGAAGGUUAAAGAAGUUGGUCAGUCUUAGGAUGAAGCUAGCGACUGAAGCCCCGGUGAACGGCGGCCGUAACUAUAACGGUCCUAAGGUAGCGAAAUUCCUUGUCGGGUAAGUUCCGACCCGCACGAAAGGCGUAACGAUCUGGGCGCUGUCUCGGAGAGAGGCUCGGCGAAAUAGGAUUGUCUGUGAAGGUACGGACUACCUGCAUUUGGACAGAAAGGCCCUAUGAAGCUUUACUAUAGCUUGGAAUUGUGUUCGGGCUUCCUGUGCGCAGGAUAGGUGGGAGGCGUAGAAGGUAUUCUUGUGGGGAUACUGGAGCCAACGGUGAGAUACCACUCUCAGGAGGCUAGAAUUCUAACUUAAUUAAGGACAGUUUCAGGUGGGUAGUUUGACUGGGGCGGUCGCCUCCAAAAAGGUAACGGAGGCGUACAAAGGUUCCCUCAGACUGGUUGGAAAUCAGUCGAAGAGUGCAAAGGCAGAAGGGAGCUUGACUGCGAGAAGUACAGUUCGAGCAGGGUGGAAACACGGUCUUAGUGAUCCGACGGUGCUGUGUGGAAGGGCCGUCGCUCAACGGAUAAAAGUUACUCUAGGAUAACAGGCUGAUCUCCCCCAAGAGUUCACAUCGACGGGGAGGUUUGGCACCUCGAUGUCGGCUCAUCGCAACCUGGGGCGGAAGUACGUCCCAAGGGUUGGGCUGUUCGCCCAUUAAAGCGGUACGCGAGCUGGGUUCAGAACGUCGUGAGACAGUUCGGUCCAUAUCCGAUGUAGGCGUGAGAAUAUUGAGAGGAGCCUUCCUUAGUACGAGAGGACCGGGAAGGACGCACCGCUGGUGUACCUGUUAUGAUGCCAAUUGUAAACGCAGGGUAGCCAAGUGCGGAGAGGAUAACCGCUGAAAGCAUCUAAGUGGGAAGCCCACCUCAAGAUGAGUAUUCUGGUGUAAGGUCACGGGAAGACGACCCGUAAAUAGGCACGAGGUGGAAGUGCAGAGAUGUAUGAAGCCGAAGUGUACUAAUAGACCGUCGGCUUGACCG
rnacentral:rRNA from 1 species